CCUACGGGAGGCAGCAGUGAGGAAUAUUGGUCAAUGGACGAGAGUCUGAACCAGCCAAGUAGCGUGAAGGAUGACUGCCCUAUGGGUUGUAAACUUCUUUUAUAUGGGAAUAAAAUGUUCCACGUGUGGGAUUUUGUAUGUACCAUAUGAAUAAGGAUCGGCUAACUCCGUGCCAGCAGCCGCGGUAAUACGGAGGAUCCGAGCGUUAUCCGGAUUUAUUGGGUUUAAAGGGAGCGUAGGUGGAUUGUUAAGUCAGUUGUGAAAGUUUGCGGCUCAACCGUAAAAUUGCAGUUGAAACUGGCAGUCUUGAGUACAGUAGAGGUGGGCGGAAUUCGUGGUGUAGCGGUGAAAUGCUUAGAUAUCACGAAGAACUCCGAUUGCGAAGGCAGUUCACUGGACUGCAGCUGACACUGAGGCUCGAAAGUGUGGGUAUCAAACAGGAUUAGAUACCCCAGUAGUC
rnacentral:rRNA from 1 species